AGACUGCAGGCUGCAACUCGCCUGCACGAAGUCGGAAUUACUAGUAAUCGUAGGUCAGCAUACUACGGUGAAUACGUUCCCGGGCCUUGUACACACCGCCCGUCAAACCAUGAGAGUUGGCAACACCCGAAGUCGGUAGUCUAACCGCAAGGAGGACGCCGCCGAAGGUGGGGUUGAUGAUUAGGGUUAAGUCGUAACAAGGUAUC
rnacentral:rRNA from 1 species